GAUGAACGCUGGCGGCGUGCCUAAUACAUGCAAGUCGAGCGAACGGACGAGAAGCAUGCUUUUCUGAUGUUAGCGGCGGACGGGUGAGUAACACGUGGAUAACCUACCUAUAAGACUGGGAUAACUUCGGGAAACCGGAGCUAAUACCGGAUAAUAUUUUGAACCGCAUGGUUCAAAAGUGAAAGACGGUCUUGCUGUCACUUAUAGAUGGAUCCGCGCUGCAUUAGCUAGUUGGUAAGGUAACGGCUUACCAAGGCAACGAUGCAUAGCCGACCUGAGAGGGUGAUCGGCCACACUGGAACUGAGACACGGUCCAGACUCCUACGGGAGGCAGCAGUAGGGAAUCUUCCGCAAUGGGCGAAAGCCUGACGGAGCAACGCCGCGUGAGUGAUGAAGGUCUUCGGAUCGUAAAACUCUGUUAUUAGGGAAGAACAUAUGUGUAAGUAACUGUGCACAUCUUGACGGUACCUAAUCAGAAAGCCACGGCUAACUACGUGCCAGCAGCCGCGGUAAUACGUAGGUGGCAAGCGUUAUCCGGAAUUAUUGGGCGUAAAGCGCGCGUAGGCGGUUUUUUAAGUCUGAUGUGAAAGCCCACGGCUCAACCGUGGAGGGUCAUUGGAAACUGGAAAACUUGAGUGCAGAAGAGGAAAGUGGAAUUCCAUGUGUAGCGGUGAAAUGCGCAGAGAUGUGGAGGAACACCAGUGGCGAAGGCGACUUUCUGGUCUGUAACUGACGCUGAUGUGCGAAAGCGUGGGGAUCAAACAGGAUUAGAUACCCUGGUAGUCCAUGCCGUAAACGAUGAGUGCUAAGUGUUAGGGGGUUUCCGCCCCUUAGUGCUGCAGCUAACGCAUUAAGCACUCCGCCUGGGGAGUACGACCGCAAGGUUGAAACUCAAAGGAAUUGACGGGGGCCCGCACAGGCGGUGGAGCAUGUGGUUUAAUUCGAAGCAACGCGAAGAACCUUACCAAAUCUUGACAUCCUUUGACAACUCUAGAGAUAGAGCCUUCCCCUUCGGGGGACAAAGUGACAGGUGGUGCAUGGUUGUCGUCAGCUCGUGUCGUGAGAUGUUGGGUUAAGUCCCGCAACGAGCGCAACCCUUAAGCUUAGUUGCCAUCAUUAAGUUGGGCACUCUAAGUUGACUGCCGGUGACAAACCGGAGGAAGGUGGGGAUGACGUCAAAUCAUCAUGCCCCUUAUGAUUUGGGCUACACACGUGCUACAAUGGACAAUACAAAGGGCAGCGAAACCGCGAGGUCAAGCAAAUCCCAUAAAGUUGUUCUCAGUUCGGAUUGUAGUCUGCAACUCGACUACAUGAAGCUGGAAUCGCUAGUAAUCGUAGAUCAGCAUGCUACGGUGAAUACGUUCCCGGGUCU
rnacentral:rRNA from 1 species